UACGGGGGGGGCAAGCGUUGUUCGGAUUUACUGGGCGUAAAGGGCGCGUAGGCGGCCACCGCAAGUCGACUGUGAAAUCUCCGGGCUUAACCCGGAAAGGUCAGCCGAUACUGCGGGCUAGAGUGCAGAAGGGGCAACUGGAAUUCUCGGUGUAGCGGUGAAAUGCGUAGAUAUCGAGAGGAACACCUGCGGCGAAGGCGGGUUGCUGGGCUGACACUGACGCUGAUGCGCGAAAGCUAGGGGAGCGAACGGG
rnacentral:rRNA from 1 species